rnacentral:miRNA from 1 species
UAGGGUACGCCCCCGCAAGCUU